ACGCUCGACACCUACGGGAUGCAGCAGUGAGGAAUAUUGGUCAAUGGGCGCUAGCCUGAGCCAGCCAAGUAGCGUGAAGGAUGAAGGCUCUAUGGGUCGUAAACUUCUUUUAUAUAAGAAUAAAGUGCAGUAUGUAUACUGUUUUGUAUGUAUUAUAUGAAUAAGGAUCGGCUAACUCCGUGUCAGCAGCCGCGGUAAUCUGAGCGGGCUGGCAAGGC
rnacentral:rRNA from 1 species